UGUUGCUGAAACUAUGAGGUUGUCCU
rnacentral:piRNA from 1 species